rnacentral:rRNA from 1 species
UACGUAGGGUGCAAGCGUUAAUCGGAAUUACUGGGCGUAAAGCGUGCGCAGGCGGCUUCUCAAGUCAGGGGUGAAAGCCCAGAGCUCAACUCUGGAAUUGCCUUUGAUACUGCGGAGCUUGAGUACAGAUGAGGUAGGCGGAAUUGACGGUGUAGCGGUGAAAUGCAUAGAUAUCGUCAAGAACACCGAUAGCGAAGGCAGCUUACUGGGCUGUAACUGACGCUGAUGCACGAAAGUGUGGGGAUCAAACAGG